CCUGCUUCCGAGGAUGGACUACAUCUCCCAGCAGGCCUUGCGUUCCGGGACUGCCUUCACUUCCCGGCGAGCACCUGGCUCGAUUGACCGCAUGUUGCAGGAGGCCCUCUCCUGGCUGGGCUUGUGUUGUGGCGUGGGGACAGCCUUGGAUUGCUUUACUAAACUGUAAAUCAGGGGACUGAAGACCUCAGUUAAGCUUCUCUGUGCCCAAGGGAUAUGACUCGGACUCUUGCGUAGCUAUUUUUGAUAUGAGGACCUGCUCUUACCGAAUUAUUUGGAAGACCUCCAAGCAUCUACCCUGCAGAAUCUUUUAUAAAAUUGAUUA